rnacentral:lncRNA from 1 species
ACACAUCUUUGUUUUUUUGUUUUGUUUUUUUGGACUGGGCUGGACCCAGCCAGCCCGGCCCGGGUCACUGGCCCAAGCCAGUGACCCGGCUGGGCAAAAUGUGGAGCACGCGUGAAGUGAUUUCACGCGUGCAUUCACUGUGCGAAGGUAGUACAGUGUUCUUUGAUCAUUUAAUUUCAAAGAACGCAAAGGGAUGAAGAGCUGGCGUACCUGCUUCUAGAGUGGCGAAGAUGGCUGCAACGCUGGUGGUGACUUUCGCCUGCUUGAUACCUUUACUUCUGCCUUCCCUUUUUGCUCCUGUUUCCACGGUCUGCUUUCGUUUUCCAGCAGAUUUUGAGAUAAUGAAGGAACCGAGAACGAAGGUGCCGGCUUCUGUGGAUACUGAUUUUUGGGUCGUUUUCUGCAGGGAUGAAAGCAAUGGCAGAACCCAUUAUCCUCUCCGUGUUGUUCCUCUGCUUUUCUUUUGUUUCAAUUCGUGCUCUGCCUUCCCCUGUUUUCUGGUUUUUUUCUCUGGGUUUUGCUCCAGUUCUCUCCUCUGGUUCUUUUUUUUCCCCCCUGGUUCUGUUUUUUUCGUCUAGGUUUAGCUUGAGUUUUUCCUCGGUUUCUCCUUCAAACCCCCCUGCUUUUCUUCCUCUGUUUUCUGGGUUUUUCUUCUCUGGUUUUUCGUUUCCCCCCCCCCCCCCCUCUCGCUCUGGGUUUUUCUUCCCCUUUUAUAGAGACCCAGCAGCUUGCCUCUAACCAGUCCUGCCUUUGCAGGACUGUUAUCUUCCACGAACGAGAUCGUGGGCAAGAGACGUGGUCCACGAUUGGAUCUGUUGCAGAUUUUCAGGUCUCCGGUUGAAUCGGGAUGAAGAAGAUCACACGACUGUUCCACCAGCAAUGGCGACGUUUCGGCUAAAAGACACAUUUUCAUUUUGACCCCUGCUUCUUUGGAAAUUCGGCAAUUGGAUCUCUAAGCAAUUAAAAAUUUAUUUUAAUUUUGCCCUUUUGGAUUAAUUUCAAUUAAAUACCUAAAUUAUAACACUGUUUACAAAACAGUCCUUAAUUCCCGGAUUGUUCAAUUUGGCCUUUAAUUAAAUCUUUAACUUUUAAUUCUUUCAAAAUUGAUCAAUUAACUCUCAAAUUUUAUAAUUACAUCCCCAAACUUCAAAUUUUGUGUUGUCUUAACCCCAUUGUCAACUAUAUUUAAUUUUUAUUAUUUUGUUCAAAAAUUGGGUUAAGACAGUUGCCUUCUCUUUAUAAUAUUUACAAUACAAAGACAUUGAAAAAUUUCAUUUUCUUGAGCUUUGUGUGGUAAAUUUAUAAAAAAAAAAUGUAGACAAAUUUUUUUUUGUUUUUGUUUUUUUAAGUCUUGAAAACUUCGAAAACAUAUGACUUUUACAGAGAGAACAGGUCAUUUGGAAGACAGCCCAUUUUUGAUUUUUUUGUUUUUUUUUUUGAAAUGAAUCAAAUUGUUUUGGGCAUCCAGCCCGAUGAUAAAAGAAACGCGAAGAAUUUCGCGAGUGGUCUAAUUGUUCCAGGCGACCUGCCCGAUAAAGAAUAAAACGCGAAAAUGGUUUCGCAAGUGGUCUAAUUGUUCCAGGCGACCUGCCCGAUGAUUGAAAAAUACGAGGAUUUUUCAUGAUGAUCACAUUGUAAUGGGUUACCUGCCCAGAUGGUUACAUUGUAAUGAGUUACCUGCCCAGUGAACAAAUACGAGGAUUUUUCAGGAUGGUACAUUGUAAUGGGUUACCAGCCCAGAUGGUCACAUUGUAAUGGGUUACCUGCCCAGUGAAAAAAUACGAUGAUUUUUUCAAAAGAAGACGUGAUAGGGCUCGAAGGCGCAUUGUUCAAUAGAUGGAAGCUCGAAGGUAAUGAGGGCUCGGAGGCGCGCUCAAAAGGAAAUGAGAGCUCGAGGGCGCACUCAAAAGGAGGUAGGGUUAGGAAAGGCAUUACCUUUAAUGGCCGAGGACUCGAAGGCGCACUCGAAAAGAAAUGAGGUGAGGGCUCAAAGGCGCACUCAAAAGGAGGUAGGAUAGGAAACACACUACCUUUGAUGGUCGAGGGCUCGAAGGCGCGCUCGAAAAGAAAUGAGGUGAGGGCUCGAAGGCGCCCUCAAAAGGAGGUAGGAUAGAAAAUGCACUACCUUUGAUGGUCGAGGGCUCGAAGGCACACUCGAAAGGAGGUAGGGUAGGAAACACACUACUUUUGAUGGUCGAGGGCUCGAAGGCGCACUCGAAAAGAAAUGAGGUGAGGGCUCGAAGGCGCACUCAAAAGGAGGUAGGAUAGGAAAUGCACUACCUUUGAUUGUCGAGGGCUCAAAGGCGCACUCGAAAGGAGGUAAGGUAGGAAACGCACUACCUUUGAUGGUCGAGGGCUCGAAGGCGCACUCGAAAAAAAAAAUGAGAUGAGAGCUCGAAGGCGCACUCAAAAGAAGGUAGGGUAAGAAACGCACUACCUUGGGAAUGGAAAAUGAAAGGUGGUGGAAAAAUACAGAGAUUUUUCAGGUGGCCUAAUUCUCAUUGGCGGCCUGCCCAGGUUGAAAAAUUCUCAAAAGUGAAAAAUUUUCAAAAGCAAUUUCAAUGUUCGCCAUUUCAAGUUGGCCUUCCACUUGAUGAAUUUCGUUAGAAUUUUCUCUUAUGAAAUUUGCAAAACUUAUUGUACAAUGUCUCAAAGUUUAAAUGAUAUGCAUGCAUCUUUACCUGAUUUGAAAUAUAGGCCCCCCAUUUCUUCGUAGUCUUCUUGUUGCUUGGUUGGUGAGAUCUUGUCAUCUUUAUCGUUUGGCUUUCUAGCCCACUCGAGUUAGCCCAUAUAAGUCUUUUUCCAGAUUUGUUUGCACAACUCAAGCUUUGUGGUGCCCAUCGUGACCCACUUGCUUGCUAAAGAUUUUCUGACUCGUCAAAUAAUUUGAGAGGAUCAUUCAUUACCCCUCGUCUCACUGCUAAAAACAUUCGGUGUCACUAGUUGAAAGGAUCAAUCUGUCUUUUAUAAACCAAAAUGCCCCCUUGUCUUGUUGAAGGAAAUUAACAUCUCCUUUUCUAGAAUUUUUCCUUCUAAACACAAUGUUGCCCCCUUGUAUUGGUCAUUGCCCCUAAGUGUGCUCUGUCAGCGACUUAGACAAAUAAUGGUUUUAAGAGGUCAUUCUUUCAUUUCUCUCCUUUUCAGUUUGGUGAAGGAAUAUGGGUCUAGAAUGAAUCUUGAAAUCUUGAUCUUGCAUUUUGAAAACAAAAAUUAUUUCGAUGUGAGUCUAAAACAAUUUGCUUUUGAAAUCUUGCAACUCCUUGGUUAUUUUCUUUCUUGGAAAAGAGAUUAUUUGCUCUUGUGUUUGGCAAUGAGGUCUUCGGUAAAAAUACGUCAUGAGAUGACCUUUUGUUUUUAUAGGUUUUCAAAGUGGAGGGCUCGAGAAAAAGCUCGAGGUUUUGUAUGAGAAAAACUUGUCUCUUUUUUAACACUCAUUUUUAUCAGCAUGAAUAAUAAUGAGUAGUUUGUUCUUGAUAUCAUGAGUUUUAUGAAAAGUAUUCUUUGCAUUUUGAGAGCAUUGUUUAUUGUUCUAGGUUGCUUGCUUGCUUGAUUAGAAAGGACUUCUACAGGCACGUAACGUAGGCUGUGGUUUUUGGCUAUGAAAAAAAUGAUUCAUAAGGCUCAAAGAGUGUUUCAGGGUUUCAAAGAUUGAGGAUCACUAUCAACAGUUUAAUUCUUGAUGUCAUUCAUAUUUUCUUUUGCCGCUCUUUUUUGAUUUGCUGCUUUUUAUUUUUUUUAUUGCUUUGCUAGGACAUACUCAAUUUAUCUUGGAUGUCACUUUUUGUAGUCAUUUGAGCAUGCCCCCUAGCAUUUGAGUUUCUUGAGCUCUUAUGCCUUUUUGGCUUUCUCACGGCCUUUUCUCUUUUCUCAAUGAAAUUUUCUCUUGCCCCCUAGUGUGGAGUGUGAUCCUAAUCGGGAUUUAUUUCAUGAAAUAAAAAUUAUUCAGGCUAAAAAAGAGAUCGCAAGGGAUGUACUUAUUUCAGAAUGUGAAAGGAAUAACAAAGAUGACAUUUCCUCAUUUCAAGCACAAGUAGUUAAGAUCAAUAAACUGUGACCUCAUCCAGUAUGAUGGUUUGGUCUUUGCAAAGAUGCAUUUCAUGAAUCAUGAGCAACGAGUUCACUACAUACCAUUAUUCAUACAUUUAAAAACUCAUGAUUCAAAAGUCAUAGGGUAAGGGUGUUUAUUCACUUCUUUUUUUUUCUUUUUUUUUGGUUUAUAAUUUAGUCACCUUAAUGACAGAGUUGCUUGAUUCACUUGUCAUUCUACAAGUAGAAUGUCAAAAUAUCAUUUUUGAAUAAACCUCAAAUUAUUUUUUGAAAUCAAAAUGCCAGAUCAAUUUUUCAAAACUCCAAUAGGGGAACUAAUUUUGGUAAAAGAGAUGAAUUGCGUCUAUGAGACUACACGAGGCUUUAAAAGUGUAUUCGUGAGUUCUUAUAAGAAAACUCUCUUAAGAAGAUGAAUAAUGUUUGGUCGUAAACACAAUUGAAUGACAAACUCAUUAUUUCAUUGAAACUUUAGAAAAGAAGUUCAAUAACAAAGAACUUAUGCCAACAUCUUGGGCUAUGAAAAUUGGCUUGGUAACACAUAAAGGGGCUAAACAUUUAGCAAUCAUUGAUUGGAAUUUCUGGAAUCUUUCAAUCAUUCAUUCUCCUCAACAAGGGCAUCUUUUCAACAAUCAAUUGAAGUCAUAUGUAGAUCAUUCUCGACCUAAUAUCACCAUAGCUUUCUCUUCAAGAUAGUUGAUUUCUGGGAGUCGGCGUGAAGAAAUUAGCUAUAAGAACCAUAAAAGUCUUGGCCACCCCCUUCAGUGAACCCGUUCUUCUCAGUCGGGUUAGCAAUCUUACCUAACCCAAUGGCUUGUUCAAUCCUUUCAACUAUAACAACCAGGUCAGUGAAAUGUUGUGCAGAGCUUCUAACCAAGUAUUCAAAGUACGGAGCUUUAAAGCUGUUGGAAAAUAAACUGAUCAUCUCUUUUUCCAACAUAGGAGGGUUAACUUGUAUAGCUACCUCCCUCCAUCUUUGAGCGUAUUCCCUUAUGGACUCCUUGUUGUCCUUCUCCAUAGCUUGUAAGUUUAACCGAUCAGGGCCCACGUCUAUAUUAAACUUAUAUUGCCUCCUGAAGGCAUCAACUAAAUCCUUCCAUUUUUUAACCUUGGUAUUGUCCAACCGCAUAUACCAAGUGAGGGCAACAUCACUUAAGCUGUCUUGAAAGAAAUGAAUCAGCAGUUUCUCAUCAUCAACCACCUCAGCCAUUUUGUUGCAGUAUGCUUUGAGAUGAGUUAUAGGGCAUUGAGUUCCCGUAUAUUUGAUAAAUUUUGGCACUCUAAACUUUUUGAGAAUGACAACGUUAGGCACCAAACACAUCUCAGCAGCCUUUAUAGGAUCAUGUAGGCGAAUUCCCUCAAAUGCCCUCAUCCUUUGCUCUAGGGCAAUGAAUUUGUUCAGAUCAUCUUCUUUUACCAUCUUGCCUUUUUUAGAUUCCUUCUCGUUUGCUCCCGGAUUCUGUGGAGUGAAGGGAUUUACGAGCAUAGGUUCAGGCUGAGCUAUAUGUAUUGCUUUUUCGAAUUUGUCUCUCAAGGCCUGUUCGAGUAGACUAGUAAGCCUUGCGACUUCUUCUUUAAUAUUGUCCACCUCUUUUUUGUGUUGGGCUUUCAACUGGGCUCUUUCUUCGUUUUCCAUUUGUCUUUUUCUCAAAUGAUUGUUAUAGGUAGGUUUCAAUAGGGAACCUAUAAUUCAACCUGGGAAUGUAAAUCAUGCAAUUUAUGCAAAAAUGUUGAUUCAAUAAAAAAUGCGUAUGAAAUGCGGACUCGCCCUUCACGGGGUGACAAACUAAUAGGAAGAUCCUAAUUGUUGAGUGCAUCAAGGGGUUGGUCAUUAUCUAGUUUCAAAGGGUUUCUCGCAUGCUCAGUGAUCGUCCUUGAAAGGUCGAUAUGAGGCUUACAAGUAGUGUGAAAAUAGAGGCCCUGACUAAUAUCAGUUUGGCAUAUUAACCACUUCCAAGUAAACAAUCAAGCGAGAGCUGGAUGGUUUCACGAGUCUUACCCAAGCUAAAGCCGUUGGGGUACCGUUACUUCCCCACAUAUCCUAGAUUUUCAGGUGUGUGCUCUUAACGUGAUGCAUGACAAUAUAAACAUGGAUGCAUGCUAAAGCAAUAAAUGCAGGAAAAAUAAACAAAUAAACACAACAAACAAACAUUAUAGCAAUUGACAAACAAAAGGCAAAGCUUAGUCCAUUAGUCCCAAUGGAGUCGCCAUUCUGUCGCACCCGACAUCGCGGCGGCCUUAAAAAUAAUAUGGUGGAAUAGAAUGGAUUUCUGGCAUCCUGUUAUUUAAUGGGGAACAGUUUUGUUUAAGGAGUGGCCACCUAGUAUUAUGGUCACUAGGAACCCUAACUGGUCAACAGAGAUUCUAUGGUACGGGACUGGUUAUGCAAAAGAAAAGAUAUUAUCACCCUUUAAACGUCCUGCCUGAGGCAGGCUGCAUUGUUGGUUUUGUCAUAAAUUGCUAACAUUUUGUCGGUUUAUGCUAUGAUGGUUUGCGUGUAAUAUUCAUGACUUUGACGCCAGUGAAUAUUUAACUACGAAUAUUUCCAACUCUGGCGUUGGUAAAUAUUACGCAGCUAUAAAAAAAAUAAAUCUAAAUCAGUAUUUUUUAUUCCUGACUCUGGCGUCAGUGAAUAAACAAAUCAAAUAAAUUUAUUUUUUACGCAUACACAUUUUUUAUGUAACUAAAUAAAAGUAAAAUACAAUAAAAUAAAAUAAAUUUACAUCAGUAUCUUUAUUCCUGACUCUGGCGUCAGUGAAUAAACCAAUAAAUUUACUUUAUUUUAUUUUAUUUUUGCAUGCAUAUUUUUUAUUUUUAUGUAAUUUAAAUAAAAUACAAUGAAAUAAAUUUGAAUCAAUAUUUUUAUUCUGACUCUGACAUCAAUGAAUAAAAACAAUAAAUUCAUAUUUAUUUUUUAUUUAUACAUACACACAUCUUUGUUUUUUUGUUUUGUUUUUUUGGACUGGGCUGGACCCAGCCAGCCCGGCCCGGGUCACUGGCCCAAGCCAGUGACCCGGCUGGGCAAAAUGUGGAGCACGCGUGAAGUGAUUUCACGCGUGCAUUCACUGUGCGAAGGUAAUUAAAUUACCUUCGCACUGUGUUCUUUGAUCAUUUAAUUUCAAAGAACGCAAAGGGAUGAAGAGCUGGCGUACUGCUUCUGGAGUGGCGAAGAUGGCUGCAACGCUGGUGGUGACUUUCGCCUGCUUGAUACCUUUACUUCUGCCUUCCCUUUUUGCUCCUGUGCCCACGGUCUGCUUUCGUUUUCCAGCAGAUUUUGAGAUAAUGAAGGAACCGAGAACGAAGGUGCCGGCUUCUGUGGAUACUGAUUUUUGGGUCGUUUUCUGCAGGGAUGAAAGCAAUGGCAGAACCAAUUAUCCUCUCCGUGUUGUUCCUCUGCUUUUCUUUUGUUUCAAUUCGUGCUCUGCCUUCCCCUGUUUUCUGGUUUUUUUCUCUGGGUUUUGCUCCAGUUCUCUCCUCUGGUUCUGUUUUUUCCCCCCCUGGUUCUGUUUUUUUCGUCUAGGUUUAGCUUGAGUUUUUCCUCGGUUUCUCCUUCAAACCCCCCCUGCUUUUCUUCCUCUGUUUUCUGGGUUUUUCUUCUCUGGUUUUUCGUUCCCCCCCCCCCCCCCUCUCGCUCUGGGUUUUUCUUCCCCUUUUAUAGAGACCCAGCAGCUUGCCUCUAACCAGUCCUGCCUUUGCAGGACUGUUAUCUUCCACGAACGAGAUCGUGGGCAAGAGACGUGGUCCACGAUUGGAUCUGUUGCAGAUUUUCAGGUCUCCGGUUGAAUCGGGAUGAAGAAGAUCACACGACUGUUCCACCAGCAAUGGCGACGUUUCGGCUAAAAGACACAUUUUCAUUUUGACCCCUGCUUCUUUGGAAAUUCGGCAAUUGGAUCUCUAAGCAAUUAAAAAUUUAUUUUAAUUUUGCCCUUUUGGAUUAAUUUCAAUUAAAUCCCUAAAUUAUAACACUGUUUACAAAACAGUCCUUAAU